UCCCACGUUCAGAGCCUGGGCUUCCAUUC
rnacentral:piRNA from 1 species